rnacentral:rRNA from 1 species
CUUUCAGUAGGGAAGAAGCCGGCUCUUUGGGUUGGUGACGGUACCUGCAGAAGAAGCGCCGGCUAACUACGUGCCAGCAGCCGCGGUAAUACGUAGGGCGCAAGCGUUAUCCGGAAUUAUUGGGCGUAAAGAGCUCGUAGGCGGUUUGUCGCGUCUGCCGUGAAAGUCCGGGGCUUAACCCCGGAUCUGCGGUGGGUACGGGCAGACUAGAGUGCAGUAGGGGAGACUGGAAUUCCUGGUGUAGCGGUGAAAUGCGCAGAUAUCAGGAGGAACACCGAUGGCGAAGGCAGGUCUCUGGGCUGUAACUGACGCUGAGGAGCGAAAGCAUGGGGAGCGAACAGGAUUAGAUA